CGCCUUGCCAGCCCGCUCAGAACUCAAAGGAAUUGACGGGGGCCCGCACAAGCGGAAGGAGCAUGUGGUUUAAUUCGAUGAUACGCGAGGAACCUUACCUGGGCUCGAACGUAAGAUGACUGUAGGUGAAAGCUUACAUCUCUUCGGAGCAUUUUACGAGGUGCUGCAUGGUUGUCGUCAGCUCGUGCCGUGAGGUGUCGGGUUAAGUCCCAUAACGAGCGCAACCCCUACCUUUAGUUGCCAUCAGGUUAAGCUGGGGACUCUAAAGGAACUGCCUACGCAAGUAGUGAGGAAGGCGGGGAUGACGUCAAAUCAGCACGGCCCUUACGUCCAGGGCUACACACGUGCUACAAUGGCCGAUACAGAGGGCAGCUACCUGGUGACAGGAUGCAAAUCUCCAAAGUCGGUCUCAGUUCGGAUCGGAGUCUGCAACCCGACUCCGUGAAGUUGGAUUCGCUAGUAAUCGCGCAUCAGCCAUGGCGCGGUGAAUACGUUCCCGGGCCUU
rnacentral:rRNA from 1 species